GUCGAGCGGGCACCUUCGGGUGUCAGCGGCAGACGGGUGAGUAACACGUGGGAACGUACCCUUCGGUUCGGAAUAACGCUGGGAAACUAGCGCUAAUACCGGAUACGCCCUUUUGGGGAAAGGUUUACUGCCGAAGGAUCGGCCCGCGUCUGAUUAGCUAGUUGGUGGGGUAAUGGCCUACCAAGGCGACGAUCAGUAGCUGGUCUGAGAGGAUGAUCAGCCACACUGGGACUGAGACACGGCCCAGACUCCUACGGGAGGCAGCAGUGGGGAAUAUUGGACAAUGGGCGCAAGCCUGAUCCAGCCAUGCCGCGUGAGUGAUGAAGGCCUUAGGGUUGUAAAGCUCUUUUGUCCGGGACGAUAAUGACGGUACCGGAAGAAUAAGCCCCGGCUAACUUCGUGCCAGCAGCCGCGGUAAUACGAAGGGGGCUAGCGUUGCUCGGAAUCACUGGGCGUAAAGGGCGCGUAGGCGGCCAUUCAAGUCGGGGGUGAAAGCCUGUGGCUCAACCACAGAAUUGCCUUCGAUACUGUUUGGCUUGAGUAUGGCAGAGGUCAGUGGAACUGCGAGUGUAGAGGUGAAAUUCGUAGAUAUUCGCAAGAACACCAGUGGCGAAGGCGGCUGACUGGGCCAUUACUGACGCUGAGGCGCGAAAGCGUG
rnacentral:rRNA from 1 species